rnacentral:rRNA from 1 species
GGGCCCGCACAAGCGGUGGAGUAUGUGGUUUAAUUCGAUGCAACGCGAAGAACCUUACCAGGGUUUGACAUCCUGCGAACCUCUUGGAAACGAGAGGGUGCCUUCGGGAGCGCAGUGACAGGUGGUGCAUGGCUGUCGUCAGCUCGUGUCGUGAGAUGUUGGGUUAAGUCCCGCAACGAGCGCAACCCACGUCUUUAGUUGCCAGCAUUUAGUUGGGCACUCUAGAGAGACCGCCGGUGAUAAACCGGAGGAAGGUGUGGAUGACGUCAAGUCAUCAUGCCCCUUACAUCCUGGGCUACACACGUACUACAAUGCUACGGACAAAGAGCAGCAAGUUCGCGAGGACAAGCAAAUCUCAUAAACCGUGGCUCAGUUCAGAUCGUAGGCUGCAACUCGCCUACGUGAAGGAGGAAUCGCUAGUAAUCGCAGGUC